UACGAAGGGUGCAAGCGUUACUCGGAAUUACUGGGCGUAAAGCGUGCGUAGGUGGUUUCUUAAGUCUGCUGUGAAAGCCCCGGGCUCAACCUGGGAAUUGCAGUGGAUACUGGGGAGCUAGAGUGCGGUAGAGGGUAGUGGAAUUCCCGGUGUAGCGGUGAAAUGCGUAGAGAUCGGGAGGAACGCCGGUGGCGAAAGCGGCGUGCUGGACCUCUUCUGACGCUGAGGCGCGAAAGCCAGGGGAGCAAACGGG
rnacentral:rRNA from 1 species